rnacentral:rRNA from 1 species
UUGGAGGGCAAGUCUGGUGCCAGCAGACACGGUAAUUCCAGCUCCAAUAGCGUAUAUUAAAGUUGUUGCAGUUAAAAAGCUCGUAGUUGAACCUUGGGCCUGGCUGGCCGGUCCGCCUCACCGCGUGCACUGGUCCGGCCGGGCCUUUCCUCCCGGGGAACUGCAUGCCCUUCACUGGGCGUGUCCGGGAACCGGGACUUUUACUUUGAAAAAAUUAGAGUGUUCAAAGCAGGCCUUCGCUCGAAUACAUUAGCAUGGAAUAAUGGAAUAGGACGUGCGGUUCUAUUUUGUUGGUUUCUAGGACCGCCGUAAUGAUUAAUAGGGACAGUCGGGGAGACUGGUAUUCAAUUGUCAGAGGUGAAGUUCUUGGAUUUAUUGAAGACCAACUACUGCGAAAGCAUUUCUCAAGGAUGUUUUCAUUAAUCAGUGAACGAAAGUUAGGGGAUCGAAGACGAUCAGAUACCGUCGUAGUCUUAACCAUAAACUAUGCCGACUAGGAAUCGGACGAUGUUAUUAUCUUGACUCGUUCGGCGCCUUACGGGAAAC